GAAAGAGGUUUACAACCCGAAGGCCGUCAUCCCCCACGCGGCGUCGCUGCAUCAGGCUUGCGCCCAUUGUGCAAUAUUCCCCACUGCUGCCUCCCGUAGGAGUCUGGGCCGUAUCUCAGUCCCAGUGUGGCCGGACACCCUCUCAGGCCGGCUACCCGUCGUCGCCUUGGUAGGCCAUCACCCCACCAACAAGCUGAUAGGCCGCGGGCCCAUCCCACACCGCAAAAGCUUUCCACCUCGGGACAUGCGUCUCGAGGUCCUAUCC
rnacentral:rRNA from 1 species